UUUCUUGUGGUGUUCACUGCUUACCUCGUUACCAUCUGCCUAAUCUUUCCAUAUAUGCAUAUAAGUGCCGGUUCGGGAUUUAUUUUUACAAAAAUAUUAUGGUUACAUAUUCUUUUAUUUUUUUGUAUACACCGUUGAGCAAACUAAAUUUUGCUGGAUAUGUGUGUACUAGAACUCGCUUGCUUUAUUACCCAUAUUUAUCUUCUAUUAUCAUAUGGACUUUCUGCUAGUAGCACCUCAACUAACUACUACUACAACGUGAUCUUAUAUAUUGCUUGUGAUGCAGGUACCUUUCUGAGCAAUCCAGGAGAAAAGCUCCUCAAUAGAAAUCUUCGGCUUCCAUGAUGUCUUGGGUGGGCGAUAACAGGUGCAUGUUCUGUUCGGUGCUGGAAACUAUUAAUAUCAUGAUUCCACAUUCAAGAGAAGUUCGCUACAUCUCGUUUUACUUGCAUAGAAUUUUGCUCGACGGUCAUGCAUAACUGUACCGUUAAGUUUCAGUUUCCGCUUG
rnacentral:lncRNA from 1 species